GAUGAACGCUAGCGGGAGGCUUAAUACAUGCAAGUCGAGGGGUAACAUGGGAGCUUGCUCCUGAUGACGACCGGCGCACGGGUGAGUAACGCGUACACGACCUACCUUUAAGUGGGGGAUAGCCUUGGGAAACUGAGAUUAAUACCCCAUAGUAUUGUUAUAAUUAUGUUUUAGCAAUUAAAGCUGAGGCGCUUAAAGAUGGGUGUGCGUCCCAUUAGGUAGUUGGUAGGGUAAUGGCCUACCAAGCCGACGAUGGGUAGGGGGCGUGAGAGCGUGACCCCCCACACGGGUACUGAGACACGGACCCGACUCCUACGGGAGGCAGCAGUAAGGAAUAUUGGACAAUGGGCGAGAGCCUGAUCCAGCCAUCCCGCGUGUAGGAUGACUGCCCUCUGGGUUGUAAACUACUUUUGGAAGGGAAGAAUAGGAAGUAUUUAUGCUUCUGUGACGGUACCUUCAGAAUAAGCACCGGCUAACUCCG
rnacentral:rRNA from 1 species